UACAGAGGGUGCUAGCGUUGUUCGGAAUCAUUGGGCGUAAAGGGCGUGUAGGCGGCGCGACAAGUCACUUGUGAAAUCUCCGGGCUUAACCCGGAGCGGCCAGGUGAUACUGUAGUGCUAGAGUGCGGAAGGGGCUACUGGAAUUCUCGGUGUAGCGGUGAAAUGCGUAGAUAUCGAGAGGAACACCUGCGGCGAAGGCGGGUAGCUGGGCCGACACUGACGCUGAGGCGCGAAAGCCAGGGGAGCGAACAGG
rnacentral:rRNA from 1 species